AAGCUAUUAUUAACGAAAUGUGCCAGAAGGAACGGUAGAUGUAGGUUUAAACCAAAUAUGGACACAGAAUGCUGGAGUAACUCAGCGGGACAGGUAGCAUCUCUGGAGAGAAGGAAUGGGUGAUGAUUUGGGUCGAGACCCUUCUUCAGAA